rnacentral:rRNA from 1 species
UACGUAGGUGGCAAGCGUUGUCCGGAAUUAUUGGGCGUAAAGCGCGCGCAGGCGGUCCCUUAAGUCUGAUGUGAAAGCCCACGGCUCAACCGUGGAGGGUCAUUGGAAACUGGAGGACUUGAGUGCAGAAGAGAAGAGUGGAAUUCCACGUGUAGCGGUGAAAUGCGUAGAGAUGUGGAGGAACACCAGUGGCGAAGGCGACUCUUUGGUCUGUAACUGACGCUGAGGCGCGAAAGCGUGGGGAGCAAACAGG